ACCUAAAAGAGCUAGCAGAAUUCGAAAG
rnacentral:piRNA from 1 species